ACAUAAGAAGUGCAGCAUUUGGGGUCCAGCUUUCUUUCUGGUCUCUGAAAUGGAGUGUGUAAGGUUUUUCAAAGCUGGACUCAGGUAUGCUCUGCCUCCAGCCUCAGCUUAAGAGUCAGCUCUGCCUUUCCAAAAGGAGCAACUGAUCCCUUGAGAAAGUUGUGGCCUUUGUUUGGGAGUGUUUUCUGAUUUUGGCUGUCAUGCCCAAGACCAACACUGAGGCUGGGUGAAUACUUGGAACAAAUGAGCCGUUACAUGUGAAAGGAAAUCUAACUGCAUCCUUUAUGCAGGGAUUCAAAACAGCUUCUAUGUGGUGGGGAAUAUUUACCUUAUUUGAAGCUGAUAUUGUCAACAGUUAUCAUAGAACAGGAAUUUUGGGGAACACAGAGCUUGCAGGCAGAGGUACUCUGAGAGAGCGACAGAAAGCCACAGUCGUCAUGUAGAAGAAAAAGCCAGCCCUGAAAUUGAUGAAUUAUUGACAACUGGGCAUUUGGCGGAGAGCACUGGAAGGAAAGUAGGUACUCUUCUAUAACCACAGCAGACGCAGCCACUUUCUAAAAUCCAGGGCCAAGAGGCAGGUAUUUUCUUCAAUUUGUAAUAAUGACACUGAUAUCAGGAAGUAACCAUUCUGGCACAGACUAGCAUGGAACAAGAACAGCCUGGGACACAGAGAUCACAGAGGCUGGAUAACGUGGGAAGAAAAUGAGUCCCUACGGGAGGAGACAAAGGCAACUCCUCGUCACAUCUGACUAAGGGGCCUCACCAGCUCCUUAAUGCCGGGAGACUGGAAGUUAAUAUCAGAAGCCUAUGCAUACUUCUUAUUGUUUGUAGGAUUAUGUCCACAUUAACUGCAUAAUGAAGCAUGUGUAAUUGUCAUUCUAUGGCGCACAGUUAUUGAUUGGCAACCAAUGUUUCUGUUAUCUUCAUAUUGCCUUGAGUUAAGGGAGCCACUCUAGGGGUUCCCAAAGACUGAUCUGUGAAGCAGCUGGAAGCUUCUGACUUCUGCAGCCACCAUUCUGGCCCCUGAACAUUGUCCUAAGGGAAGACAUUCCUAGCAUGGAGUCCUCCUGUCUGUAUAUGCUACAUGUGACUCAGCUCUUGUUUCGGAGUUGAUAAUCACUGCAGUUUACUGCCUUGAUAUGUUUCUAGGUUUUCUUAUUCUUUUUGGUCUUUCCAGUGCUUUCUCAAUGCUCCUAAAGAUCUCAGGAGAUGUAACACAGGGGUGGGGAGACAUAAACAGUACCAAGAACUGAGUUCCUUCAGUGGGUUUUCUCUGAAUAGAAGGAGAAGGACAAGAAAACAAGAGAGAAGGCAUAGAAACAUGUUUUAUUGGAAGGGUGCCACUGCCAAAAAAUUACUCACACUUGUAAUUCCAGUACUUUGGGAGGCUGAGGUGGAUGGAUCACGAGGUCAGGAGUUCAAGAUCAGCCU